rnacentral:rRNA from 1 species
CGACCGGCAAACGGGUGCGGAACACGUACGCAACCUACCCAAAACUGAUGAAUAGCCCUCCGAAAGGAGGAUUAAUACAUCGUAACCUAGUGAAGUGGCAUCACUUUACUAGUAUAGCUCCGGCGGUUUUGGAUGGGCGUGCGCCUGAUUAGGUAGUUGGCGGGGUAAUGGCCCACCAAGCCUACGAUCAGUAACUGGUGUGAGAGCACGACCAGUCACACGGGCACUGAGACACGGGCCCGACUCCUACGGGAGGCAGCAGUAAGGAAUAUUGGUCAAUGGACGCAAGUCUGAACCAGCCAUGCCGCGUGAAGGAUGAAGGUCCUCUGGAUUGUAAACUUCUUUUAUAUGGGACGAAACCUCUUUUUCUUGAGAGACUGACGGUACCAUAGGAAUAAGCACCGGCUAACUCCGUGCCAGCAGCCGCGGUAAUACGGAGGGUGCAAGCGUUAUCCGGAUUCACUGGGUUUAAAGGGAGCGUAGGAGGGCAGGUAAGUCAGUGGUGAAAUCUUCGAGCUUAACUCGGAAAC